GAUGAACGCUGGCGGCGUGCUUAACACGUGCAAGUCGAACGAAGCACUUUAUUUGAUUUCCUUCGGGACUGAUUAUUUUGUGACUGAGUGGCGGACGGGUGAGUAACGCGUGGGUAACCUGCCUUGUACAGGGGGAUAACAGUUGGAAACGGCUGCUAAUACCGCAUAAGCGCUCAGCAUCGCAUGAUGCAGUGUGAAAAACUCCGGUGGUAUAAGAUGGACCCGCGUUGGAUUAGCUAGUUGGUGAGGUAACGGCCCACCAAGGCGACGAUCCAUAGCCGACCUGAGAGGGUGACCGGCCACAUUGGGACUGAGACACGGCCCAAACUCCUACGGGAGGCAGCAGUGGGGAAUAUUGCACAAUGGGCGAAAGCCUGAUGCAGCGACGCCGCGUGAGCGAAGAAGUAUUUCGGUAUGUAAAGCUCUAUCAGCAGGGAAGAUAAUGACGGUACCUGACUAAGAAGCACCGGCUAAAUACGUG
rnacentral:rRNA from 1 species